rnacentral:rRNA from 1 species
GAUGAACGCUGGCUACAGGCUUAACACAUGCAAGUCGAGGGGAUACGACGGGGAAGCUUGCUUCCCCGGGCGUCGACCGGCGCACGGGUGAGUAACGCGUAUCCAACCUGCCUCUGACUGAGGGAUAACCCGUCGAAAGUCGGCCUAAUACCUCAUGGUAUCGUCUGCGGGCAUCCAACGACGAUUAAAGAUUUCAUCGGUCAGGGAUGGGGAUGCGUCUGAUUAGCUUGUUGGCGGGGUAACGGCCCACCAAGGCUACGAUCAGUAGGGGUUCUGAGAGGAAGGUCCCCCACAUUGGAACUGAGACACGGUCCAAACUCCUACGGGAGGCAGCAGUGAGGAAUAUUGGUCAAUGGGCGAGAGCCUGAACCAGCCAAGUAGCGUGCAGGAAGACGGCCCUAUGGGUUGUAAACUGCUUUUAUGCGGGGAUAAAGUGAGGGACGUGUCCCUCAUUGCAGGUACCGCA